rnacentral:rRNA from 1 species
AGAGUUUGAUCAUGGCUCAGAACGUACGCUGGCGGCACGCCUAACACAUGCAAGUCGAACGAAGUAGCAAUACUUAGUGGCAGACGGGUGAGUAACAUGUAGGUAUCUGCCCUUUGGCCUGGAAUAACACGAGGAAACUUGUGCUAAUACCGGAUAAGUCUUUACGGAGAAAGCUUUAUGCACCAUUGGAUGAGCCUGCACUUGAUUAGUUUGUUGGUGGGGUAAUGGCCUACCAAGACUGUGAUCAAUAGCUGAUUUGAGAGGAUGAUCAGCCACAUUGGGACUGAGACACGGCCCAAACUCCUACGGGAGGCAGCAGUGGGGAAUCUUGCACAAUGGAGGAAACUCUGAUGCAGCGAUGCCGCGUGAGUGAAGAAGGCCCUUGGGUUGUAAAGCUCUUUCGUCGGGGAAGAAAAUGACUGUACCCGAAUAAGAAGGUCCGGCUAACUUCGUGCCAGCAGCCGCGGUAAUACGAAGGGACCUAGCGUAGUUCGGAAUUACUGGGCUUAAAGAGUUCGUAGGUGGUUGAAAAAGUUAGUGGUGAAAUCCCAGAGCUUAACUCUGGAACUGCCAUUAAAACUUUUCAGCUAGAGUAUGAUAGAGGAAAGCAGAAUUUCUAGUGUAGAGGUGAAAUUCGUAGAUAUUAGAAAGAAUACCAAUUGCGAAGGCAGCUUUCUGGAUCAUUACUGACACUGAGGAACGAAAGCAUGGGUAGCGAAGAGGAUUAGAUACCCUCGUAGUCCAUGCCGUAAACGAUGUGUGUUAGACGUUGGAAAUUUAUUUUCAGUGUCGCAGGGAAACCGAUAAACACACCGCCUGGGGAGUACGACCGCAAGGUUAAAACUCAAAUGAAUUGACGGGGACCCGCACAAGUAGUGGAGCAUGUGGUUUAAUUCGAAGAUACGCGCAGAACCUUACCAACACUUGACAUGUUCGUCGCGACUCUAAGAGAUUAGAGUUUUCGGUUCGGCCGGACGAAACACAGGUGCUGCAUGGCUGUCGUCAGCUCGUGUCGUGAGAUGUUGGGUUAAGUCCCGCAACGAGCGCAACCCUCACUUUUAGUUGCCAUCAUUAAGUUGGGCACUCUGAAAGAACUGCCAGUGAUAAGCUGGAGGAAGGUGGGGAUGACGUCAAGUCCUCAUGGCCCUUACGUGUUGGGCUACACACGUGCUACAAUGGUAUCUACAACAGGAAGCAAGACUGCGAAGUUAAGCAAAUCCCUAAAAGAUACCUCAGUUCGGAUUGCACUCUGCAACUCGAGUGCAUGAAGCUGGAAUUACUAGUAAUCGUGGAUCAGCGUGCCACGGUGAAUGCGUUCCCGGGUCUUGUACACACCGCCCGUCACACCAUGGGAGUUGGUUCUACCUUAAGGCAAGGUUUCAAACCCUUGACCACGGUAUAGUCAGCGACUGGGGUGAAGUCGUAACAAAGGUAACC